GACGAACGCUGGCGGCGUGCUUAACACAUGCAAGUCGAACGGAAAGGCCCUGCUUGCAGGGUACUCGAGUGGCGAACGGGUGAGUAACACUUGGGUGAUCUGCCCUGCACUUCGGGAUAAGCCUGGGAAACUGGGUCUAAUACCGGAUAGGAGCCAUUUUUAGUGUGAUGGUUGGAAAGUUUUUUCGGUGUAGGAUGAGCUCGCGGCCUAUCAGCUUGUUGGUGGGGUAAUGGCCUACCAAGGCGGCGACGGGUAGCCGGCCUGAGAGGGUGGACGGCCACAUUGGGCCUGGGAAACGGCCCAGACCCCUACGGGGGGCAGGAGUGGGGAAUUUUGCACAAGGGGCGAAAGCCUGAUGCAGGGACGCCGGGGGGGGGAUGACGGCCUUCGGGUUGUAAACUCCUUUCGCUGGGGACGAAGCUUUUGGGACGGUACCAAAAAAAGAAGCCCCGGCUAACUACGU
rnacentral:rRNA from 1 species